AUAUUAGUAUGUAAUGACGUUAAUGUUGAACGUUAAUAAACAAAAGUGAAUAGCACGGAUGCAAUGUCCACUGUUAGAAUGAUUCGCGAGCCUUUGUAAUGGCAUCGCUCAGCGAUAUCAUCCGGUUUCUUCUGUACAUGAUAAGAAUAGCGAUACGAUGAUGACAACCGAGGCGAUUGCUCCAGGGGAUAUACCUCCACCUGCCAUCCCAUGACACCUCCAUUCUACAUUUUUAUCAGCAUCUUUUUAUGAAACCACAGCACCUCCAGCCUUUUAUAGCGGACGAAAAGGAUGGAGGGGGACGGGGAAACAUAGAGGUUGGGCAAAGGAUCCAGCAAAAGUCAUGAAAGACAAAAGGCUUCCCUUUUUCAUUUUUUUAUUUCAAGAAA